CAAGUCGAACGCGAAAGUUCCCUUCGGGGGGCGAGUAGAGUGGCGCACGGGUGAGUAACACGUAGGUAAUCUACCUUUGGAUUGGGAAUAACAACCGGAAACGGUUGCUAAUACCGAAUAAUGCAGCGGCACCUAAUGGUGACAGUUGUUAAAGCGGGGGAUCGCAAGACCUCGCGUCUGAAGAGGAGCCUGCGGCAGAUUAGCUAGUUGGUAAGGUAACGGCUUACCAAGGCGAUGAUCUGUAGCCGGCCUGAGAGGGCGGUCGGCCACACUGACACUGACAUACGGGUCAGACUCCUACGGGAGGCAGCAGUCGGGAAUUUUGGGCAAUGGGCGCAAGCCUGACCCAGCAACGCCGCGUGAAGGAUGAAAUCCUUCGGGAUGUAAACUUCGCAAGAACAGGAAGAAUAAUCCGGUGUUAACACCACCGGCGAUGACGGUACUGUUUGUAAGCUCCGGCUAACUCCGUGCCAGCAGCCGCGGUAAUACGGGGGGAGCAAGCGUUGUUCGGAUUUACUGGGCGUAAAGGGCGCGUAGGCGGCCACCGCAAGUCGACUGUGAAAUCUCCGGGCUUAACCCGGAAAGGUCAGCCGAUACUGCGGGGCUAGAGUGCAGAAGGGGCAACUGGAAUUCUCGGUGUAGCGGUGAAAUGCGUAGAUAUCGAGAGGAACACCUGCGGCGAAGGCGGGUUGCUGGGCUGACACUGACGCUGAAGCGCGAAAGCUAGGGGAGCGAACGGGAUUAGAUACCCCGGUAGUCCUAGCCUUAAACGAUGAAUGCUUGGUGUCUGGGGUUUUAUAGUCCCCGGGUGCCGUCGCUAACGCUUUAAGCAUUCCGCCUGGGGAGUACGGUCGCAAGACUGAAACUCAAAGGAAUUGACGGGGACCCGCACAAGCGGUGGAGCAUGUGGUUUAAUUC
rnacentral:rRNA from 1 species